UAAGGAAUAUUGGUCAAUGGGCGGAAGCCUGAACCAGCCAUGCCGCGUGCAGGAUGACUGCCCUAUGGGUUGUAAACUGCUUUUGUCCAGGAAUAAACCUAGAUACGUGUAUCUAGCUGAAUGUACUGGAAGAAUAAGGAUCGGCUAACUCCGUGCCAGCAGCCGCGGUAAUACGGAGGAUCCGAGCGUUAUCCGGAUUUAUUGGGUUUAAAGGGUGCGUAGGCGGCCUAUUAAGUCAGGGGUGAAAUACGGUGGCUCAACCAUCGCAGUGCCUUUGAUACUGAUGGGCUUGAAUCCAUUUGAAGUGGGCGGAAUAGACAGUAGCGGUGAAUGCAUAGAUAUGUCUUAGAACUCCGAUUGCGAGGCAGCUCACUAGCUGGUAUUGACGCUGAUGCACGAAGC
rnacentral:rRNA from 1 species